CAAUAGCGUAUAUUUAAGUUGUUGCAGUUAAAAAGCUCGUAGUUGGAUUUCGGGUGGGACGCAGCGGUCUCGCAUUGCGUUUGUACUGCUGCAGCCCUCCUUCUUGCCGGGGGCGGCCUCUCGGACUUCACUGUCUGGGGGUCAGAAUCGGAGAUGUUACUUUGAGUAAAUUAGAGUGUUCAAAGCAAGCUUACGCUCUGAAUAUAAUAGCAUGGGAUAACACGACAGGACUCUGGCCUAUCGUGUUGGUCUAUAGGACCAGAGUAAUGAUUAAGAGGGACAGUCGGGGGCAUUCGUAUUCCGUUGUCAGAGGUGAAAUUCUUGGAUUUACGGAAGACGAACAUCUGCGAAAGCAUUUGCCAAGGAUGUUUUCAUUGA
rnacentral:rRNA from 1 species